rnacentral:rRNA from 1 species
AGUGAACGCUGGCGGUAGGCUUAACACAUGCAAGUCGAACGGCAGCACAGUAAGAGCUUGCUCUUACGGGUGGCGAGUGGCGGACGGGUGAGGAAUGCAUCGGAAUCUACUCUUUCGCGGGGGAUAACGUAGGGGAACUUACGACAAUACCGGAUACGACCUACGGGUGAAAGCACGGGAUCUUCGAACCUUUUGGGGUUGAAUGAGCGGAUGUGGGAUUAGUUAGUUGGAGGGGUAAAGGCCGACCCAGGGGACGAUCCGUAGCGGGUGGGGUUGGAUGGGCAGCGACCCUCGAACUGGAACAGGGACAAGACUCCUACGGGAGGCGGCAGUGGGGAAUAGGAGACAAGGGGCGCAAGCGUGAUCCAGCCAUACCGCGUGAGUGAAGAAGACGUUGGGGUUGUGAAUCCCUUUUGUUGGGAAUGAAAAGCUGCAGGUUAAUACGCCGCGGUUCUGACGGUACCCGAAGAAUAAGCACCGGCUAACUUCGUG